CCUACGGGGGGCUGCAGUGAGGAAUAUUGGUCAAUGGUCGGGAGACUGAACCAGCCAAGCCGCGUGAGGGAUGAAGGUACAGAGUAUCGUAAACCUCUUUUGUCAGGGAACAACGGCGGGGACGCGUCCCCGGAUGAGUGUACCUGAAGAAAAAGCAUCGGCUAACUCCGUGCCAGCAGCCGCGGUAAUACGGAGGAUGCGAGCGUUAUCCGGAUUUAUGGGGUUUAAAGGGUGCGCAGGCGGUUUGUUAAGUCAGCGGUCAAAGCCCGGGGGUCAACCCCGGGCCGGCCGUUGAAACUGGCAGUCUCGAGUUGGAGAGAAGUAUGCGGAAUGCGCGGUGUAGCGGUGAAAUGCAUAGAUAUCGCGCAGAACUCCGAUUGCGAAGGCAGCAUGCCGGCUCCACACUGACGCUGAGGCACGAAAGCGUGGGUAUCGAACAGGAUUAGAUACCCCAGUAGUC
rnacentral:rRNA from 1 species